rnacentral:rRNA from 1 species
UACAUGGGGUGCAAACGUUGCUCGGAAUUAUUGGGCGUAAAGCGCACGUAGGCGGUUCGUUAAGUCGGAUGUGAAAGCCCUCGGCUCAACUGAGGAAGUGCACCCGAAACUGGCGAGCUUGAGUACGAAAGAGGAUCGCGGAAUUCCCGGUGUAGAGGUGAAAUUCGUAGAUAUCGGGAGGAACACCAGAGGCGAAGGCGGUUUCCUGGACAGUUACUGGACGCUCAGGGCACGAAAGCAUGGGGAGCAAAAGGG